UACAGAGGUCUCAAGCGUUGUUCGGAUUCAUUGGGCGUAAAGGGUGCGUAGGCGGCGCGGUAAGUCGGGCGUGAAAUGCCGGGGCUCAACCCCGGGACUGCGUCCGAUACUUCCGAGCUGGAGGUAGGUAGGGGAGAUCGGAAUUCCUGGUGUAGCGGUGAAAUGCGCAGAUAUCAGGAGGAACACCGGUGGCGAAGGCGGAUCUCUGGGCCUUACCUGACGAUGAGGCGCGAAAGCUAGGGGAGCGAACAGG
rnacentral:rRNA from 1 species